rnacentral:misc_RNA from 1 species
GUGAAUCAUCAAAUUUUUGAACGCAAAUUGCACUCUCUUCGGAGAGUAUGCCUGUUUGAGGGUAAUUAAAAAGAAUCUUUAAGCAAUUUUUUUUGGUCAAAGGAAAUGAGCUGUCCGCGUUUAUAGAGGUAGCUUGAAAUAAAUGGUCAAGUCUCAUUUUAGUUGAGACGCAUAAUAAUAUUUUUUCGCGAAAUAUUAAUUAUGUGACUAACAAGUUUUGAUGCAUAAAAAUUUGCUUUGUAUGAGAUCAGUACAAAUAUUUUGAACAUUACAUUAAAUCAGGUUGGAGUACCCGC